rnacentral:rRNA from 1 species
AUGCAGUCGAGGGGCAGCGGGAGCAGCAAUACUUGCCGGCGACCGGCGCNNNNNUGCGUAACGCGUGAGCAACAUGCCCGUAUCAGGGGGAUAAUCCAUGGGAACGUGGUCUAAUACCCCAUAGUAAGUUUUUGAGGCAUCUCAAAGAUUUUAAAGCUUUGGUGGAUACGGAUUGGCUCGCGUGACAUUAGCUAGAUGGUAGGGUAACGGCUUACCAUGGCUACGAUGUCUAGGGGUUCUGAGAGGAAGGUCCCCCACACUGGAACUGAGACACGGUCCAGACUCCUACGGGAGGCAGCAGUGAGGAAUAUUGGACAAUGGAUGGAAAUCUGAUCCAGCCAUGCCGCGUGCAGGAAGACGGCCCUAUGGGUUGUAAACUGCUUUUGUAUGGGAGCAAUAAGAUCUACGUGUAGAUUGAUGAGAGUACCAUACGAAUAAGCACCGGCUAACUCCGUGCCAGCAGCCGCGGUAAUACGGAGGGUGCAAGCGUUAUCCGGAUUUAUUGGGUUUAAAGGGUGCGUAGGCGGUUUGAUAAGUCAGCGGUGAAAUAUUUCAGCUUAACUGGAAGGGUGCCGUUGAUACUGUCAGGCUUGAAUUUAGUUGCUGUGGGUGGAAUGUGUGGUGUAGCGGUGAAAUGCAUAGAUAUCACACAGAAUAUCGAUUGCGAAGGCAGCUCACAAAGCUAAUAUUGACGCUGAUGCACGAAAGUGUGGGGAUCAAACAGGAUUAGAUACCCUGGUAGUCCACACUGUAAACGAUGAUAACUCGCUGUC